GGACAGUUUGUGCAGCUAUUGCAUGAAGGAAGGCCUGUAGUUGUUGCCUUUACUAUUAAGUGCACUUAUACACAGCAUCUUGAUAAAGUACUGGAAGAGGCUGCUGCCAAAUUUUAUCCACAUAUCAAGUUUGUCAGAGUCGAGUGCCCAAAGUAUCCAGGGUUUUGCCUCACAAGGCAAAGGAAUGAAUAUCCAUUUGUUGAAGUAUUUUACAAUCCAGAACAGGUUAUACUUGUU